rnacentral:misc_RNA from 1 species
UCCGGUUUGUCACCGGCAGUCUCGCAUGAGUCCCCAACUAAAUGCUGGCAACAUGCGACGGGGGUUGCGCUCGUUGCGGGACUUAACCCAACAUCUCACGACACGAGCUGACGACAGCCAUGCACCACCUGUGAUCCUGCCCCGAAGGGAACCCCUGUUUCCAGGGGGGUCAGGAACAUGUCAAGCCCAGGUAAGGUGGGGAUGACGUCCGAGAGUACGUCC